GAGGGUAUAGCUCAAGUGGUAGGGUGCUUACUUAGCAUCCACAAGGUCCUGGGUUCAAUUCCCAGUACCUCCU
rfam:Camelus ferus unplaced genomic scaffold scaffold429, whole genome shotgun sequence.